GCGAUACCGCGAAUGGCUCAAUAUAUCAGUUUUGGUUCCUUAGAUCUUACUCAGUUACUUGGAUAACUGUGGCAAUUCUAGAGCUAAUACAUGCAAUCAGAGCUCCGACCAGAGAUGGAAAGAGCGCUUUUAUUAGAUCAAAACCAAUCGACGGAGGUGGCGACACCGAUGUCGUUUAAUUUGAUGAAUCUGGAUAACUUUUGCCGAUCGCACGGUCUCGUACCGGCGACGCAUCUUUCAAAUGUCUGCCUUAUCAACUUUCGAUGGUAGUUUCUGCGACUACCAUGGUUGUCACGGGUAACGGGGAAUCAGGGUUCGAUUCCGGAGAGGGAGCCUGAGAAACGGCUACCACAUCCAAGGAAGGCAGCAGGCGCGCAAAUUACCCACUCCCGGCACGGGGAGGUAGUGACGAAAAAUAACGAUACGGGACUCAUAUGAGGCCUCGUAAUCGGAAUGAGUACACUUUAAAUAUUUUAACGAGGAACAAUUGGAGGGCAAGUCUGGUGCCAGCAGCCGCGGUAAUUCCAGCUCCAAUAGCGUAUACUAAAAUUGUUGCGGUUAAAAAGCUCGUAGUUGCAUUUGUGCGCCGCGCUGUCGGUGCACGCAUCCGCGGUGAUACUGGCACGUUUGCGGAGCAUAUCGUCGGUGAG
rnacentral:rRNA from 1 species